rnacentral:rRNA from 1 species
GAGUUUGAUCGUGGCUCAGAUUGAACGCUGGCGGCAUGCCUUACACAUGCAAGUCGAACGGCAGCACGGGAGCUUGCUCCUGGUGGCGAGUGGCGAACGGGUGAGUAAUGCAUCGGAACGUAUCCUGGAGUGGGGAUAACGUAGCGAAAGUUACGCUAAUACCGCAUAUUCUGUGAGCAGGAAAGCGGGGGACCUUCGGGCCUCGCGCUCUUGGAGCGGCCGAUGUCGGAUUAGCUAGUUGGUGAGGUAAAGGCUCACCAAGGCGACGAUCCGUAGCAGGUCUGAGAGGAUGAUCUGCCACACUGGAACUGAGACACGGUCCAGACUCCUACGGGAGGCAGCAGUGGGGAAUUUUGGACAAUGGGGGCAACCCUGAUCCAGCCAUGCCGCGUGAGU